CCUACGGGAGGCAGCAGUAGGGAAUCUUCCGCAAUGGACGAAAGUCUGACGGAGCAACGCCGCGUGAACGAUGAAGGCCUUCGGGUCGUAAAGUUCUGUUGCUAGGGAAGAACAAGUGCUAGUUAAAUAAGCUGGCACCUUGACGGUACCUAACCAGAAAGCCACGGCUAACUACGUGCCAGCAGCCGCGGUAAUACGUAGGUGGCAAGCGUUGUCCGGAAUUAUUGGGCGUAAAGCGCGCGCAGGCGGUUUCUUAAGUCUGAUGUGAAAGCCCCCGGCUCAACCGGGGAGGGUCAUUGGAAACUGGGAAACUUGAGUGCAGAAGAGGAAAGUGGAAUUCCAAGUGUAGCGGUGAAAUGCGUAGAGAUUUGGAGGAACACCAGUGGCGAAGGCGACUUUCUGGUCUGUAACUGACGCUGAGGCGCGAAAGCGUGGGGAGCAAACAGGAUUAGAUACCCUGGUAGUCCACGCUGUAAACCGNUGAGUGCUAGUAGUUAGUAGGGUUACCGGUCCCGUUUACGUUGUCUGUAAGUUAACGUACGUAUUAAGUACGACUCCGUCCGUCGGGAGGUACGGUCGCGAGACGUAGAAACGUUAAACGGUAAAGUUAGUACGGCGUGAGACGUCGACCGAACGGACGACGACGAGGGAGGUAGG
rnacentral:rRNA from 1 species